AGGGCAGAGCUGUGUUCCAGAGGGUUUGAGCAAAGCCCAGGUGACCUCAGAUCAGGGAUACCUUGGAGCUCUCUGGGACCUGAGGCAGGCAGCAAGGCUCCGAGAUGCAUUCAUUUCUGAAGCUGUCUUGGUUCCUCCCAUAAUCUUCCUCCAUCCUUUGAUCCUGGGAUCUUUAUCUUGUGAGAAGGGUAAGACAGAGGAGAAAACUGAUUCUUGCUUCUCCUUUACAAUGUCAUUCGGGACAAAGAUUUUGAUACUAAAAACCAAGAAUUUGCAUUUUUUCCCUUUCUGAUGUCAUCACUGACAACUCCUUAAAGAAACGGUUGCCUUCCAUUCUAAAUUGCAAAUAGACAAAUCACCAGGUAAACGCGGUGAAUAAGGACUAUGGUAUAGAACACAUCAGUUAUAGCUUCACCUGUCACCCACUGCAAACACCAAUUAAACUCAUCAGGGCCCAAUCGCAGAGUCAGUUAUUGUGGGGCAUGAGGCAGUAUAUUAUCAACACAAAUAUUUAAAAAAGAGGGCCUGGAGUUCCCGUCGUGACUCAGUGGUUAACGAAUCCAACUAGGAACCAUGAGGUUGUGGGUUCGGUUCCUGGCCUUGCUCAGUGGGUUAACGAUCCGGCGUUGCCAUGAGCUGGGGUGUGGGUCGCAGACGCAGCUCGGAUCCCGCACUGCUGUGGCUCUGGUGUAGGCCGGCGGCUACAGCUCCGAUUCGACCCUUAGCCUGGGAACCUCCAUAUGCGGUGGGUUCAGCCCUAAAAAGACAAAAUAAAUAAAUAAAUAAAUAGGAUUAAAAAAAGGGCCCUACUCCCAAGGACCUAUAGUUCAGUGGACAGUCACGCACAUAAAUGAUACAAGAAAAUGAACGGAAAUGAGGAGGAGAGACGUGCUCUGUGGGGGCCGAGGGAGAGGAAGCUGGUAUCCAGACAAUCCGUGGUGAUGAAAAGAGCUUUAAAUCUACGCCACGGUCUCCUAGGAUGGUGGAUUAUCCGCUCCGGCCUGUGGCCUGUUGAGGAGGUUGGGUGACUUCUGGUAAAACCCAGCUCGGAGGUGUGAUUAUACAUUACAACUCAGAGAAGUCCUGCAGGGCCUUGAAGAAGAGGCCCCCUGCAGGCCAGGUGGGAGAAGGGAGGACGGACCGAGCUCUCAACCUGCACGGCUACGAAGGGAGAGCAGGCAGACCCCCGGGAGCUGGCCCCGGCUGUCACGUCUCCGAAGACCUCAAAGAAUCUCUGUUAUGCCACCAAGGUUCAAACAUUUAGGGGGAAGAAAAUGAAGAAGAGAGAGAAUGACAAAAGCGAAAGGGUUAACUUCUUAAAAUCUAUCACUUACGUUAGCGGGACAGGGACUACAGAGGAGAAGGCACAGAGCGAAUGUUGUGCCAACUUUCAUUUGGGCUUCACUGGUGAGGUCGGGAGACAGAGGCGGAGCUGGAAAGCAUUAAAUAACCGACCGUGACGAACCGCUGAGUUUAGCCUGAAUGAAUUCACCCUGCAAACAUACCUGUCAUCAAAAGGUAGCUUAUGCAAGGCUCCCGAGUGGGCGGCAUGUCACAACAUAUAACGAUAAAUCCGUGCUUUGUCUGCAAGGUCAUGAUCACCUGCAUCUGAGGUGUAGCAUCCGGUGUGCUUGGAUGACACGGAACGGUUGCCCCGGGUGAGUUCAGUUUUGGUGAAAGUGGAUGAAGGUUAGCAUUUUGUUUACUCUGUUGUUGAAAGUGAAUCUGUGUAGUCAACGGCUUUGGGGCUUUGUUUUGAUUUUUUUUUUGGGGGGGUUGCUAUUUUUAAUUCAGAGAACAUGCUACAACAGAAGACAGCCACCUCUUCAGACAGACCUGGAUGCAUAUUCUUGCUCUGUACUGAGCUGGCUACUACAUGAAGCGCAAUUACUUUUUCUUAAAAUGAGGCCCCUUCCAGCCCUAGAGCGCUGCGAUUACAUUGUUUGGUUCCUGCGAAGAGCCUGGUAGGCACUUUCCUCUGAGAAGGUGGAAGAGCAGCUGAGAAAAAAUGUAAGACACCAUUAAAUCUACUUACCAUUGCAUGUUGGAAAGAAAAAUAAUGAAUUAAGUAGGGAUUCUGUCCAUUUCUUUCCUCCUCCAUUCUUUACACUAAUCCCAGCUUUCCAAAAAAAAAAAAAAAAAAAGUGUAUAUUCUAUAAAAUACUACUGUAUGGGGGUGAGCCAUGGGGACAGUCAAACUUAGGAUUUUUUCAGGGUGAGCCCACACCCUGAGAGGGCAUACAGUUGGAAGUGGUGACACAUGCGUGUGGAACUUUGAAAAUGGGCUACAUAGUUAAGAGAGACCAAGCUUCAUACAGUAGUUGUAUGUGAUCUUGAUCUGUCCCCGGGUUUCUUGACCUCAGCACAACUGACACUUUGGACUGGCUACUCCUUGGUUGUAGGGGCUGUGCUGUGCAUUGUAGGGCAUUUAGCACUAGAUGCCAGAAGCAAAUUGCUACCCCUCCAGGUACCGCCAAAUGCCCUCUGGGAGACAACCCACGCCCUCGCGGUUAAAAAUCAGGGUCUGGAAAAAUGAUAAGGCUGAUUAUGACAUGUGCUUUUUUUCUUUUUUUCUUUUUACGGCUGCAUCUUUGGACUAUGGACAUUCCCAGGCUAGGGUUUGAAUUGGAGCUGCAGCUGCCAGCCUACACCACAGCUCACAGAGACAUCAGAUCCUUAACCCACAGAGCAAAUCCAGGGACCAAACCCACAUCAUCAUGGAUACUAGUCAGGUUCUUAACCUGCUGAGCCACAACAGGAACUCCGACAUUUGCAUUCGAUGGGUCUGCCCCUGCCGCCUUUCCCGCCCCCACCCAAGUCACUUCAGUACUCAUCCAGUCAACAGAUGCUUAUUAAAUGACAACAAGGUGUCAGGCACUGUUCUAGGAUAGUAGUAAUCAGUGAACAAGAAGGAAGGGUCCCAAUUAUCACAGUAUUUACAAUUUUGUAGGGGAGACAAUGUGGGGGGAGAAAUGAUCAUAAAUAAAAUACUAUUAGUCAAAACAGAAGUUCAGGGAACCUGCACACAGAAUUACAGCCACUGCUUCCCCAACUCCUGUUCAUAUUACAGUGACU
rnacentral:lncRNA from 1 species